AAAUAAAAAGAAAUAAUACAACAUGGAAUUACAUGCAUUUUAUGAAUCAAAAAAGCCUUUACAAGACGCACAAAUAGGUUUCUGCUUGAUGGACACUAAACCAGCUUCCAGAAUUUUCCAGAGACAAUUUGUGACUCAAGAAAACCUCACCAGGCAUUUCAAGAAACAGUUUGAUACCUAAUGGACAUACAGUACAUAAAAAAAAGAAAAGAAACAAAGGCCCCUCUUUGCAUAAUGUUCACUCUGCUUGCUUUUCUUACAGGCACUCUGACUGUGACGCAUCGGGUCUGUCCCACACAGUGCAUGGGAGCCAGUCAGCGGUGCCCCACCCUGUGGCUGUGCACACCUCCCAUGCAGGGCCGCUCCGUCAUGACCUUUCUGAUGCCGUCUGAGUCGUCAAUAAUAGGAGAUGAGACAUAAACCACAGUGGCGAAGGCAUGAGCAGAGACUUGGUGGGCCACCUUUUCAGGCUGGAGUGGGCAGGCAUGCGGCUUUGGCCACAGGAAGCUGUGAAUUCUUCGAAGAAUGGAAGAUGUCCUACAGGGAGACGUACUCGGCCCGCCUACGCCCAUUCCUUACCCCAAAAUGACCCCUGACCCAUCCGAAUGUUUAUAUCAGAGCGUGGACGUGAGAAAUAGUGAUGAGUCACUUUGGCCGUCUGUUUACACUCUGGAGUCACGCAAGGAAGGAAAUCAGCUACGGUCUGCUACAAGUGGCUAGCCUGGAGAGAGAAUAGAUGCGGCCCCUUCAGAGGUGCACCUCGAGCCCAGCGGGAUUUUAGAGGAUUUGCUUCACCUGAGGGCUGCUGUAAACUCCAUAAGACAACAGAAAACGCAAAACUUAGCAGCACAAAUGAAUUAUCGUCAAUUCGCACUUUCCUCAAGGGGAACUGCGCUGCAAGACAUUGUCUCAUCUUCCCUGAUGAUGCACUCUUAAAACUGCUCGGUCAAAAGUAACCCAAAUUGGGUGAAAUAGUCCGAAAGAGACUGAGCCAAUGUUGGGUGUUUUAUACCCAGCGUGUUGGGGUUGAGGGGUUGAGGGUUUGGGCCAGCAUAUUUAGUCAAUAUUUCGAGCCAAUAGAGGCUAAAGACUAACCAUACUGAUGCAUUGUCAAGUUAUCAGCAACCAAUUUUAUGGCUGUGCCAUCUGCCUCUUCCUGGAAUUUGAACCCAGAGCUCUGUGCUCAAGGUUGGCAGGAUUAUACAAUGAUCCACCCAACCACCAACAUUUUGUGGAAUGUCACAUUGAACUUACUUCAAGUUCAGUACACAGGCAAAGCGGGGACCAAAUUCAGCUCUUUCAGUUGCUAAAACCUGUUUUAGUGAUUGAUUUGAUAUGAUUGCUGAAGGUCAGUUGUCCCUGAUUUUGGAUUUGGCCUUUGGUUUCUAAACACAGGGCCCCCAGGUAUUUUCUAACAGCAAUACUCUUUUCUUUAUUGCCAAAAUCAAUUACCUCUGUUCUGUUUUGGUUUAGCUGAAGCAUAUUCUGGUUCAUCAAAGUUGAAGCACCGCGCACGGUUAGCAUUUCGACUGGUUAGCAUUUCUGUCUCACAGUGCAGAGGUCAUGUGUUUAUAUCCGGCUCCGGCCUCCCUGUGUGAAGUUUGCAGGUUCUCCUUGUGCCAUAUUCCAAAAACAUGCAUGGCAGGUUAAUGGAACACUCUAAAUUGUCCCUGGGCGUGAUUGUGAGUGCGAAUGGUUAUUUGUCUUUGUGUGCCCAGUGAUUGACUGGCAACCAGUUCAGGGUGUGCCCCGCCUACCGCCCAAAGACUGCUGCGAUAGGCUACAGCACGCCUGCGACCCACGUGAGGAUAAGAGGGUGAGAAAAUGGAACGAAUGUUAUUGUGGACUCUAUGGAUUAGGUCUUGAAAAGAAAUUGUCAACUCGUCAAUAAGUAGAUUGUGACGUGAUUUUGCUAUCUCGUCUCAGCACGUCUAUUUAAUGGGACCAGAAAAUAGGGCAAAAUAUGUUUUAUUCUAUACUUUCUAUUUAAUUGUUUUUAAUUUUUUCUAUUUAAAUACAUAUUUAUUAUUAAAAAAUUACAUAGAAAUUAAAUAAAAAGUUCUAUUUAAAUGUUAUUGUACAUUUUAAAGAGUGAUAUUUUCAUUCUUAAAAAAACUGAUGACAAACUAUUUUUAUUGUGUUUGCCAUUUCCAUUAAUUUUAAUGGGGGGGGGGGGGGGGGAUGAUUUGUGAUCGUUCACAUCAGCCUCUUCUAUGACUGUGGCCUGCAGGUAUUAUCCCAAUUUCAUCACAGUACAUUUCCCUAUGGAUUUCUGUUCUAACUAAAAAUAUAAUCUGCGCUUAUAAAUUCUGUCCCGCACAGUGAGUAUGUGUAAAUCAUACAUUUACUUUCUUAAUAACGUCUUCGUUAUUUACACAUUUGCAACCGUGUGCCAACCAUGUGGGCCACUGUCACCCCAACCCAAUUAUAAAAUGAUAGUAUUGCUGCUGUCCAAUGAAAAGCACGUAUAUCCCAGCUUUAAGUUUCUUUUGAUCUGAAAAUCAUUUUUGUUGUUCUUCUUUCAAAAGUAACCGGUAUUGCCCAAUCUCCACUCCAUCUUAGAAAAAUAUUUCUCAUUUAUGAAUUCAUUGAAAUAGUCCCUCUUGGCCAAUCUGCUGAAUGACCAUUUGAUUGUGAAGUUGUUAUCAAGAUAGGUCAUUACUGCACUUAUGCUCUAUAAAUAAACAUAACACCUCAUUGCCUUCCACCUAUAGGGUCGCACGUGCGCACACGCAUACACGCUCUGCCUCAAUAAGAGCCAACAUUUCUGAGUUUGGCAAGAUUUAUCCCGAAUUGUAACUCUUGUCAGGAGCUUUGAUUGAUAGUUGUGUUUAUCACCAUAUUAUUAAGUAAUCAAGCUCACCGCAGCAGGGCCUCAAGCUUCUCAAUUCCACUUCAGUGCAAAUUAAAGGUUUGGUUCAUGUUUAUUCUUGUGAUUGGAAAAAAAGAGAUAUAUCUAAGGAUUUUGUAGGAGUGGUCUGAUUGCAGCAGAUGCUUGGGAACAUUUGGUAGGAUGAAUCCUGUAGAUCAGUGGUUCUCAAACUUGUCAUGCCAAGUACCAGAUAAAAAAACCCUGGCCCUUCAAGUACCUCCAUGAUAAUCAACAUGAAAAUCCAAUAGCAGAGUAAGCCCAAAAUUUUUUAUUCCAAAUAUUAACAUGAGAAAAUGGGUGAUUUUAACAAUAACAUUUUGGAGAACAAUUUCAAAUUAUAAAUGAAGUCAAAAUAUUUGGGUGAAAAAAAUACGUCUGUGAAGUUGUGAUACUUGUGAUACAACCCCCAAAUUGACAGGAAUAAAGUCAAAAUGUUACGAGGAAAAAAAAAACAUUAUGCAAGGCUGAAGUUGGACUGCUAUUAUAUUUAAAUCAUACAGCAAGAGAGACAAAACUCAAAAUGAGACAAUUAUAAAGUUGUAAUAUUCUACAUUUUUUAAACAAAAACUCAAGAACUUUCGGGAAUAAAAUAAUUUUUUUUUAACCAAAACCUUUAAAUUCCAAAACAAAUUGCCUUCUGACCUAAAACACCCCCCCCCCCAAAAAAAACCCAAACAAAAAUAAAGAAUUUAAAGUUGAAAUAUUUCAUGAAAAAGGAGAACAUUACCAUGAAUAAAGCAGUAAUAUUUGUUUUAGAAUCGGUGCAGUGCCACAUGUAAUAUAAUACUUGUGGCAAUGCACCAAAAUAUUGAAAUAUGUAUGAAAAAGAACAAUAAUUGAUUUAAACGUGUUGCCCAUUAGAGUAAAAAAAAAAAGAAGAAAAAAACUACAUAAAAGUAUUGAAUGCGAAUCUCCUAAAAAAAGUUCAAUACAACUGAGUUGUACUUAGUGCUACUUUUGAAUUGCACGUGCAGCGCACUUUGAGAAUCACUACUCUAGAAUUGGUCCUGCUGCAAAACUGCAUCCGGAAUGUAAACAUCCUGUCUUUCAAAACAUUUAAGGCGCUUUUACAUUGUUGUAAAAAUGUUGCAAAAUGACGUUGCGUAAGUAUAUAUAUAUAUAUGCAACCUUUCGCGGUGUAUAAAAUGAGAAGCACUCGGCAGAGGAUUUGUUCUUGCUUCGUUAAUAGCGCCUGCGGCCAACUGACUUUGUGUACUGGCCAAGUAAACACAGUCACGGAAAAGCGGACAUGCUGUUGAGUGUGUCCUGACUGGAGACAGGCAGCAUUGUGGCACUGCACAGAUGGACAACGGCAAUGUGAAUGAACGACCAGUGGACCAUCGGCCAUGUUUUGGCUUCGAUGGCCCCUCGAAGAAGUUGGACUCAGGGAAUCAAUCAAAAACAAAAAGUAACAUUUUUGGCUAAUGUACCCACUUCUGUUUGCAAAAAUAUACAACGAACAUUUUGUAAUUCUCUUGCAUGCCAAUUGUUUGGGAAUUGUCAUCUAAGUGUCAAUUGAAUUACCCUAAACCCUUAAAUAAAUUAGCCGGUACCAGCACAAUUUUGAA